GCGCCCGUGAUGGAAUUGGCAGACAUGCGAGAUUUAGGUUCUCGUGCAGUAAUGCGUGCGGGUUCAAGUCCCACCGGGCGCACCA
rnacentral:tRNA from 1 species